AACGAACGCUGGCGGCAGGCUUAACACAUGCAAGUCGAGCGCCCCGCAAGGGGAGCGGCAGACGGGUGAGUAACGCGUGGGAAUCUACCCAUCCCUACGGAACAACUCCGGGAAACUGGAGCUAAUACCGUAUACGUCCUUCGGGAGAAAGAUUUAUCGGGGAUGGAUGAGCCCGCGUUGGAUUAGCUAGUUGGUGGGGUAAUGGCCUACCAAGGCGACGAUCCAUAGCUGGUCUCAGAGGAUGAUCAGCCACACUGGGACUGAGACACGGCCCAGACUCCUACGGGAGGCAGCAGUGGGGAAUAUUGGACAAUGGGCGCAAGCCUGAUCCAGCCAUGCCGCGUGAGUGAUGACGGCCCUAGGGUUGUAAAGCUCUUUCGCAGGUGAAGAUAAUGACGGUAACCUGAGAAGAAGCCCCGGCUAACUUCGUGCCAGCAGCCGCCGUAA
rnacentral:rRNA from 1 species